UGGAAGUCAGUCUUCCACCAGCAGCCUUCAGAUGAAGAUGUAGAACUCUCAGCUCCUCCUGCACCAUAUCUGCCUGGGUGCUGCCAUGUUUCUGCUUUGAUGACAAUGGACUGAACCUCUGAGCCUAUGUGAAUUAUGGCUGCUUUGACUGAGAACCCUGAUUAUGGCAAGCACAACCAAAAGACUUCAAGGUGAAGCUUCUUCCUGCCCUGCUGAGUGUGUCAGCCCAGGGCUCCAAGUAUUGGAAAACACGAAUGAAGAGCAAGCAGCUCCCGUCCUUGAGGGCUCUGCCUACUGACAGAACCAGGUGAUGUGACACAAUGGUGGUACAACAAUUAGAGACACUUAACAGUUAAGUAUAAGGAUGUUUUGCCUGCAUGGAUGAGUAUAUGUCAUAUGCCCGGUGCUCAUGGGGGCCAGAAGAGGGCGCUGGAUCCCCUGGAAUGGAAGUUGUGAGCUGCCCCGUGGAUAUCGGAAAUCAAACCUGGGUCCUCUGGGAGAGCAGCAAGCACUUUUAACUUCAGAACCAUCCCUCCAGCCCCUAGAGACCCUUCUGGAAAGACCUCUACUUCCAUGUUACAGGGGAAUAAUCAAUAGAGGGCAGGAGACAGGUAAGCCUGAAGGAAUCUGUUGCCUUGAAGACUGGACACCCCUCCACUGCUAACCGCAGUCCUCAUCGGUGCUGUUGAUACAUCUAUACCCCAAGAGUCUAGAUUCAUUUUCUGUUUUAGCCAGUUCAGGUUUCACUGACACCUCAACAAGUGGAUUUGGACUCUACGAACAUUGUAUCUAGGUUUGAUAGUCCAGACUAGGAAAUGUUCCUCAUGAAUUCCUGCUUUGGAAGGUUGAAGAACCGGCAGGAGGCGGAGCCUAACCACAGGAAGUGGGUCUCUGGGCGCAGGCGUUUGGGGUCCUUCUGAAGCCCAGCCCCUCUUCUUGUCUACUUUCUGCCUCCUGUUCCUCAAGAUGUGAAGCAGUGAAGAUAUCCAACAGCAUGUCCUGCAGUGUCUUCCCUACUGCCAUGGACGGUGUCCACAAACUGUAGCCAAAAUCAGCAGUCCCCUCCUGAGUUUACUUUUGUAGAGAUUGUGUCACAGUAACAUACCAAAUAACGAUCAAGUCAUCAUAACUGGAAUAUUGGGUCGAAUAAUGAACUCAAAUAUGUAGACAGUCUCAUACGGAGAGAAAAAAUCUUCACCUAUGUCAUUUAAAUGUUCAGAUAUUUAAUGAUUUUAAAAUGUAAAACUCAUUACAGUUUAUCUGAGAGAUCCUCACCACCAUCGCAGUCUUUAUAAAUCCAAGGCAAAGAGAGAGACAGACGGUGCAGCAGGCCAUUUGUAGACAGACCGGUGACUGGACAGACGGUGGACUGGACAGACCUAAGGAAGGGCCGGGUGGGGACAUCAGAGGCAGGCUGGAUCUUGGUCAAGAGCAGCUCCUCUGGACUCCUGGCCACUGGCCUCUCUGGUCUGUCCAUUCUGAGGUCCUGUAAGCUCAUGUGACCUCAGCUGUGGGAUGAAGAGUGGAACUGAGAAACUGGUUUCACUUGGGUCAGAUGUGGAAACUAAACACGAGGGACUUGUUUCCAGAUCGCUCCCUGGGGGAAGCUUCACUCCUUGGGGGGCUGGGGGGGGGACCAGUCUACAGAUGAAGAGUCAUAAAAGGAGUUCAGAUCCUGUUGCUCAUGACAGACCACUGAAAGACUGCACAUCAGUGGUGAGGCCCUCUCCGCUCCCUUCCAAAUGUGGCCUGAAGUCUAUAUUAAAAUAAGGGUCCGCUUUCUUUUCUUUCUUUCUUUCUUUCUUUCUUUCUUUCUUUCUUUCUUUCUUUCUUUCUUUCUUUCUUUCUUUCUUUCUUCCUUCCUUCCUUCCUUCCUUCCUUCCUUCCUUCCUUCCUUUCUUUCUUUCUUUCUUUUUUUUGGAGCUAGCCAUGGAUACAUAGACUGAGGUGUGUAAUGCACAAAUACUUUGAGAGUUAUUUAUGGAAAAUAUCUAAGUUAUAAAAUCCAAAUAAGUGCAAAA